rnacentral:lncRNA from 1 species
UUUCAUCACCUGUAUCAAAAGGCACCACCAAUUGAAACAUAAUGGGAUUAAACCCAUUAACAGUGACAUAGAUACUACAAGUAUCUUCAUCAAUCUCUCGGAUUAUACCCAACUUCUUCCCAAUAGCUUGUAAAGUUGCUUCUUCCCACAGAUGCAUCGGAAUCCCAGAAGCUUUAACCCAAAUAUUAAUAGAUGAUGGGUAAGUACUAGAUGUAAUAGGCUCCCAAUGAACCAAUGAUAUCAUCCAUCCAUCAAAAUGAUACGUCACAUUCUGCAA